CCUACGGGUGGCAGCAGUGGGGAAUAUUGGACAAUGGGCGAAAGCCUGAUCCAGCCAUGCCGCGUGUGUGAAGAAGGCCUUCGGGUUGUAAAGCACUUUCAGUGGGGAAGAAAGCCUUGGGGCUAAUACCCUCGAGGAAGGACAUCACCCACAGAAGAAGCACCGGCUAACUCCGUGCCAGCAGCCGCGGUAAUAUGGAGGGUGCGAGCGUUAAUCGGAAUUACUGGGCGUAAAGCGCGCGUAGGCGGUCUGAUAAGCCGGUUGUGAAAGCCCCGGGCUCAACCUGGGAACGGCAUCCGGAACUGUCAGGCUAGAGUGCAGUAGAGGAAGGUAGAAUUCCCGGUGUAGCGGUGAAAUGCGUAGAGAUCGGGAGGAAUACCAGUGGCGAAGGCGGCCUUCUGGACUGACACUGACGCUGAGGUGCGAAAGCGUGGGUAGCAAACAGGAUUAGAUACCCGGGUAGUC
rnacentral:rRNA from 1 species